rnacentral:rRNA from 1 species
UACGUAGGUGGCAAGCGUUAUCCGGAAUUACUGGGUGUAAAUGGAGCGCAGGCGGGACUGCAAGUUGGAUGUGAAAUACCGCAGCUUAACUGCGGGGCUGCAUCCAAAACUGUAGUUCUUGAGUGAAGUAGAGGUAGGCGGAAUUCCGAGUGUAGCGGUGAAAUGCGUAGAUAUUCGGAGGAACACCGGUGGCGAAGGCGGCCUACUGGGCUUUUACUGACGCUGAGGCUCGAAAGUGUGGGGAGCAAACAGG